ACGAAUCUGAGACAAGAUUCCGGGCCCUACGGGGCGCAGCAGGCGCGAAACCUUUACAUUGCACGCCAGUGCGAUAAGGGGGAUCCCGAGUGCACAGGCAUAGAGCCUGUGCUUUUCUGAACCGUAGGGAGGUUCAGGAACAAGAGCUGGGCAAGACCGGUGCCAGCCGCCGCGGUAAUACCGGCAGCUCGAGUGAUGGCCGAUCUUAUUGGGCCUAAAGCGUCCGUAGCUGGCCUUGCAAGUCCGUCGGGAAAUCCACCCGCUCAACGGGUGGGCGUCCGGCGGAAACUGUGAGGCUUGGGACCGGGAGGCUUGAAGGGUACGUCCGGGGUAGGAGUGAAAUCCCGUAAUCCUGGACGGACCGCCGAUGGGGAAACCACUUCAAGAGAACGGAUCCGACAGUGAGGGACGAAAGCUAGGGUCUCGAACCGGAUUAGAUACCCGGGUAGUCCUAGCUGUAAACGAUGCCUGUUAGGUGUGACUCCCACUACGAGUGGGUGUUGUGCCGUAGGGAAGCCGCUAAACAGGCCGCCUGGGAAGUACGUCUGCAAGGAUGAAACUUAAAGGAAUUGGCGGGGGAGCACUACAACCGGAGGAGCCUGCGGUUUAAUUGGACUCAACGCCGGACAUCUCACCAGCAUCGACUGUGGUAAUGACGGUCAGGUUGAUGACCUUACCCGAGCCACAGAGAGGAGGUGCAUGGCCGCCGUCAGCUCGUACCGUGAGGCGUCCUGUUAAGUCAGGCAACGAGCGAGACCCGCAUCCUUACUUGCCAGCAGCACCGCGAGGUGGCUGGGGACAGUAGGGAGACCGCCGUGGCUAACACGGAGGAAGGAACGGGCAACGGUAGGUCAGUAUGCCCCGAAUAUGCUGGGCAACACGCGGGCUACAAUGGUCGAGACAAUGGGUUCCAACGCCGAGAGGCGACGGUAAUCUCAGAAACUCGAUCGUAGUUCGGAUUGUGGACUGAAACUCGUCCACAUGAAGCUGGAUUCGGUAGUAAUCGCGNUCAGAAGCGC
rnacentral:rRNA from 1 species